ACAGGAAAUUCUCCCAGGAUGAAUAUUCUGUCAAUCAAGCUAUCUGGAAUGAGUUUACAAGACUCCAGCUUCCUUAACCCUGAGAGCCUCAUCUCCAUCUGCACGCUUGCAGGGGUCAUUCCUGUUUCGAGCCCAGAGACACACGUCUGUGUCUGAGGAAGAAAAAAGGCCGUCCGUCCAAACCAGAAGAAAAGUCUGAAAGAAGUCUUCACACGCACCCUGAGAGCCGCUGUCUCUGCCCCUGGAUCCUGUCCCCAUGUCCCAGUCUGGGAACCUCAAGCCGCGUUAGCAUCUGGCCAGAGGGCAUUCAUGAGACAGAGGCAGCCUAACUCGUUAGCUGGUGAGUGGGGUGAAGCCUCCGACCCUCCGCAGCUCCGGACCGAAGGCACCGAUGUCCCCAUCAUCAUCAUGCUGAAAGUGCACCAUACACGUGAAAUGACACGCUAGUUCGAGAGGACCGGUGCGGCCUCGACUUGAGAAAAGAUGCCAGGAAGAAGAACCUGAGAGGAGCUUAGUAAACAGAUGAGCCGGUCCCAGCAGGAUGCCCGCUUCCUUGUUCACCUUGAGGUUCUCAGUAAUGUCUAAGUCCCCCAAAGCCACUCUGCAAGGACCAGAUUCUGCCCUUGGAGUAAAGAGGUCACCUGUCACCAAGGGAACCGGAUGACCAGGAACACCAGGCGGCUUUGGGGAUCAGCAGGUUUCUGCUGGAAGAGGCCUUCCUCCUCUCAUCACUGGCUCCAUGUGUCAGAAUUGAAUCACACCAGGGCAUUCACGGACCUAGAAUUCAAUUACCUGUCAUAUUAUUAUUCAACCAUUUCCUCCUUUCCUUGGUAAAUUUAAUUUUCCCUUAUUCUAAUGAAGCUCUCUGGAAAAAUCAAAUCAGUGCUUUAUUUUAAUGAGCGCGAUCAUCCCGUGACGGACGAGGCCCAGAAAGCCCGUGGCUUUGGUGGAAGUUCCGUGAGCUGGCAGGUGGUGCCAGGUCUGCGUCACCUCUGUCCUUGGGGGAAGGGCUGAGCUUGCACACAGGGCAAGUCCACCGUGGUCGGCCGUGGACCCUCAGGGCCCAGGAGGGCGAGAAUGUGAAAGAAUCCAAAUUAUCGUAGCAUUUUCCCAAAAAGCAAUAGAAAACUUUAACUCAGUCAUAGCCUUCUAUGCUUCUAUCCUCUAGAAAUUCAGGAAUUACAUUUAUGGAAGAGUGUAUUCUAUCUAUAAUCGGUUCAUCCUUACAAAGCAGGUCAUUUCAAAUCAGCCCAUUUACAGAGUUGUUUGCUUGUUUUGUUUUUUUGGUCUUUUUACCACCCC